UCCUCUCUCUGUCUCUAGCUUGGAGCUGACUUCACAGUGGCUGGGGCUGAGCAUGAGCAUGAGCAGGCAGGCACCACUGUUGGAGAGGAGAUGGAACAAUGGCAACAACAGAUGGAGCCUGCCUGGCUUGUGGCUCAAAUCAAAUAAUUUCUCUCCUCGCGUUUGUGUACUUGCCUGGCCUGGACCUCCCUCUACUGUUGACGCACCAUGAAACUUACUGCUGAUCAGCUUUGCUGCUGCUGCUAUCGGCUGUUGCCCACACACUGUGUUAGGAAUUUCCUUGGAGACGAUGUAUGCAUGGGAAAUGGCUGUAACCCAUGCCCUUCCCGGCCCAAAUCUGGCUCCUCUACAGCUCUACUGUACCCCCCAACCCAUCCUGCACGCACAGCACCUUAACCCAACGAAGGCAAGAGCCAUGCAAAAAGAUACCCCGUCACAUAUGUGUAUGCAUUAGUGCAUUCAAUAUAGCUUAACAAAAAUGGUUUCAUUAAUUAUUGGAUGGGUCAAGGAGAACUCGAUUUGUCUAUUAGCUCUUGGAUUCGUUAUUACUUGCAAAAAAGGGUACUCGUAUAAUUAACAAAAAGGGUCGGCU